CUUUGUGAAAUUGAACAGGUUGGGAAGCCUGACCAAAGACGGUGAUAGUCCGGUAAGUGAAUCACAGAGACAGCGUAGAGAUGUUCCCGAGUACCGCGGGACACGGGAAACCCUGUGGGAAUCUGGGAGGACCACCUCCUAAGGCUAAAUACUACCAAGUGACCGAUAGUGUACCAGUACCGUGAGGGAAAGGUGAAAAGUACCCCAAAAGGGGAGUGAAAUAGACCCUGAAACCGUAUACUUACAAGCAGUCAGAGCACUAUGUUUCAUGUGUGAUGGCGUGCCUUUUGCAUAAUGAGCCUGCGAGUUACCUUCUGCAGCAAGGUUAAGUCGGUAGACGAAGCCGAAGCGAAAGCGAGUCUGAAUAGGGCGUUUGUCAGUGUUUAUAGACCCGAACCCGGGUGAUCUA
rnacentral:rRNA from 14 species